CAAAAACCCUUCUGAAGCUCUAAACCAGGAGAAGGAUCAUGAGAAGUUUGAGAGAGAACCGAGGUACCAUAACCUUCCCACAAAUCUGACUGAAAGAGCUCUCGAGGUGUGGCAGAAACUGUGUGAACAUCUGCAGGAUUUCACUCGGGAGAACUGACGUGCUUGUCAGUAUCUUCUGAUGCAAUCGUGACAUUAGGAUUCAGCAUUGAUUGAUCCGAGUUCAUGUGUGUGAAAUAGUAGUAAUAUAUACUGUAACUGCUGCUGCAACUAUUACAGCUGAUUUCAGUUCUGUGACUAUUCAAAGCUCUCGCUUGCCUUAAAGCAACAGUACACUCAAAAAUGUUCAUUCUGUCAUCAUUUACUUCACUUUCAUGUGGUUCCAAACAUGUUCGACUUUCUUCUGUCUUUUGUUGAGCACAAAAUAAGAUAUAUUGAAGGAUGUUGGUAACAAAACAGUUGACGUAUGGAGAAAAAAAUUUAAACAAAAAUAGUUGACAGAAGCCAUUAACUUCCAAGUAUGGGGGGUAAAAUCUGGAACCAAACAGUUGACGGUAGCCAAUGACUUCCAAGUAUGGGGGGUAAAAUCUGGAACCAAACAGUUGACGGUAGCCAUUGACUUCCAAGUAUGGGGGGUAAAAUCUGGAACCAAACAGUUGACGGUAGCCAUUGACUUCCAAGUAUGGGGGGUAAAAUCUGGAACCGAACAGUUGACGGUAGCCAAUGACUUCCAAGUAUGGGGGGUAAAAUCUGGAACCAAACAGUUGACGGUAGCCAAUGACUUCCAAGAAUGGGGGGUAAAAUCUGGAACUGAACAGUUGACGGUAGCCAUUGACUUCCAAGUAUGGGGGGUAAAAUCUGGAACCAAACAGUUGACGGUAGCCAAUGACUUCCAAGAAUGGGGGGUAAAAUCUGGAACCAAACAGUUGACGGUAGCCAAUGACUUCCAAGAAUGGGGGGUAAAAUCUGGAACCAAACAGUUGACGGUAGCCAAUGACUUCCAAGAAUGGGGGGUAAUAUCUGGAACUGAACAGUUGACGGUAGCCAUUGACUUCCAAGUAUGGGGGGUAAAAUCUGGAACCAAACAGUUGACGGUAGCCAAUGACUUCCAAGUAUGGGGGGUAAAAUCUGGAACUAAACAGUUGAUGGUAGCCAUUGACUUCCAAGUAUGGGGGGUAAAAUCUGGAACUAAACAGCUGAUGGUAGCCAUUGACUUCUAAGUAAGGGGGGUAAAAUCUGGAACUAAACAGUUGACGGUAGCCAUUGACUUCCAAGUAUGGGGGGUAAAAUCUGGAACUAAACAGUUGACGGUAGCCAUUGACUUCUAAGUAAGGGGGGUAAAAUCUGGAACUAAACAGUUAACGAUAGCCAUUAACUUCCAAGCAUGGGGAAAAAAAAUCUGGAACUAAACAGUUGACGGUAGCCAUUGACUUCCAAGUAUGGGAAAAAAAUUAAACUAAACAGUUGACGGUAGCCAUUGACUUCCAAGUAUGGGGAAUAAAAUCUGGAACUAAACAGUUGACGGUAGCCAUUGACUUCCAAGUAUGGGGAAAAAAUUAAACUAAACAGUUGACGGUAGCCAUUGACUUCCAAGUAUGGGGGAAAAAAUCUGGAACUAAACAGCUGAUGGUACCCAUUGACUUCUAUAGUAUGAAAAAAAAAAUGAAACUAAACAGUUGACGGUAGCCUUUGACUUCCAUAGUAUGGAACAAAAUAUGAAACUGAACAUUUUUUUCAUUCCAUAUUUUUUGAUAAAUAUUUAGUUUCAUACCGGGAACUGUUUUUAUCUUCAACAGAAGAAAGGAUCUCUUCUUCUUUGGAAAAGCUUGAGGGUUAAAAUGAUGACAUAAUUUUAGGCUUUGGGUGAACUGUCCCUUUAAAGUCGACAUGAACCCAUUUAACUACAUAAUUUUAUUUCUUUUUGAGGGAAGUCAGGAUAUUCAAUGAGAAAAGGAAAUGCAAAUAUCAGGAAUUUUAAAAAGAAAUGGGAGUUACUUACCAAAAUGAACACUGAAAGGAAAUUUGAUUCAGGUGGAGAAGCUCAUUACAUUCUGAAAAUAAUCAACUUUUGUCCUUUGGAAUAUCAUGUAUGAAUAAUGUAAAACCAGAAACAUGGAUCAGCAAGUAAAGAGGGUCAGUGUUGAUUUCAGCUUACGCAGGAUAUUAUACAACUCAAUGCAAAACCAUAAACAUACCAGAUCUGGUAUUAUAUUGUAAAUGAAUACAACUGCUCACAGUCUCACACUGCUGUCAUGGACUCAGGGUUUACAUCACUUCAUACUCAAUUAAGAAAUGAACACAAACACAUGUGUAAGGAUGUUUUAUUUUCUGUCUUCUGAUCAAAUAUACAUGGUUUCCCCAAACCAUUUACUCUAUAGUGAGAGAGCUACAAAUAAUAUAAGUAAAUUAUUCUGCACAAUGCUUAUUUUUUAUAUGAAAUCAAUUAACACCUUUCCUAAAAGAUCAUCAAGAUGUUUAAACUGGAUUUCAUUGUUUGUUUUCUGACAGUACCAGCUUAUGCAUUUAACGCAUCUGCAAUACUCAUGUACAUGUUCAAAUAAUUCAUUCUCUUCCUGUUAUACAACGAUGUAAAUGAAGAAUAACUGCUGAAUAUCAUCCAUUUAUUAUGUUUUCUGUAAUAUAAAUUACAUUAAAUGUAAUGUUUAACUAAA